rnacentral:lncRNA from 1 species
AGUUUGUGAGAUUUUUUGUAGAUUAUAGUCUUAGAUAUUUGAAAUUUAGGAUUAGUAAGGAUUUUUAUAAUCUUACAACAUCUAUCAACUAGAUUGAAGAAAAAAUUAGUGAGAGCCAUUUAGACUUUAAAAUCUACAUGCUAAUAAAAUUUUAAAUAAUUAAACAGUUUGGCAAAGAGAAAUUGUUGUUGGAAGAUCAACAUUCAAGUUCGAAUAAGAUGGUGGUGAUUAUUCAAUAGAUUUUGAAAGCUAUUCUUUCAAUCCAUGUGUUGGAUUUUUUAGAAAACUUUUGUGCUUGUUAAUUGAACAUGGAUUGAAAUUUGAAUGAAUUUUAGUCAAGAUUAAGAAUUCAAUUAAUAUUUAUUGAGAUUUUAAACUAACUAUAGUAUUUAUUUAAUAUUUAUAUAGGAUUUUUUGGAAUUUUUUAGGAUUUUAUUGAAAUU